UUCAUGGGUUGAAGAAAGAUGGUCAAACUCGGUAAUUUCUCGCCCGUACUCGUGCCGAACCGAGGUGGUGGCAGGGUGUUCGCCGAGGCCACCUCGGAUUUGCCGAGUUGCACGCUCCUUGAAGUCUUACAACGAUCACUGAUCGGCCCUCAUAACCAUGGCUAUUCUCUUCGUCGAUUCUCAUAUCGGGCAGCUUGCUCCCUGAUUUCCCAUGCCCCCGCCCACGGCCCUCCUUGUCCAUUCCCAUGUUGGUCAAUUCCCAUGUGCAGAAACCACAACCAAAUCAUCUGAAUCCCUUAUUAUCCUACAAAUUCGUUUUCAUCUAUCAGAAAUUGAUACCAAAUCACUUGACCCGAUCAAAAUCGCAGAGAAUUUAUUUUGUAAACAAAUUGGCGACUUUUCGUCAGGAUCAUUUCCAUAGUAGAAGCAGAGCGGUUGAAGUAUUCAUCAUAAUUGAGUUGAUAUGAAAUUAGUAGGUAUGUAUUGGUUUCUUUCCUUGUUUUCCUUCACUAUUUUACUUCCAAACACUCCUUUGUAUCUAAUGCAUAUUAAGUGUUUGACGAAAUGCCUAACUGAUUUUAUUUAUUUAUUUAUUUAUUUAUUUAUUUAUUUAUUUAUUUUUAAUUUAAUGCAAUAUUAGCUCUAUGGUUUGUUAAUACCGAGGUGUUCUGAAUUCAUAGACUAUUAAAAAAACAAAGAAUACUUACAGGAAAUAAGUACUGAUCUCCAAAUAUUCGUCAAUUCUUACAAAAAAAUUGUACACACCCAAUACAAUAUGAGAGAAGUAAUGGUUCCUAGGCAGUGCGAUUAUUAUGUUAGCUAACAUUACAUUUUCAGAUUAACUAAAUUUGCUUCUUACUAUAGCUAGUUAAUUUUCUUAUGAUGUGUUUGCAAAAAAAUUGAUCAACAUCAAAUAUCUUGUCUUUGAUUUUUUUUUUAUUCAAUUCUCAUCAAAGUAACAAUAUUCGUAAAUUAAACAAAUUGCAAUUUCUUCCAUGAUGUAUUGAGAAUCAGUGAAACUAAGAUGAUAUAUAGCACUUAUACGUUGUAUUUUUCAAGUAAAUAAUUACAUAAGAAAUAGAUCCUGAUUACCAACCUGCUGGUGAUUACGCCAAUGGCAACUCACUAGAGUCUCAUGAACCCCUAUAAACAUAGAGACUAGCAUAUAAAUAUUAAAAUAUACAUUGCUAGAAAGGAUAUUGCAUUAUCCAGAAAUAGGUGUAAAUGAAUGAACCUUAACUUUGCUUAGUGCAUUAAUGGCUAUAUGAUAAUUCCAUGAUUAUUAGGCAACUUUUGAUGGUGAUUCUUCUGAAUUAUGUGUGCUAGAACUCAUAAUCGCAAUCUCAACCUUGUUCUUUGGAAUAUGGCAUGACAUGGAUAUAACAUUAAUUGAUUUAAUGUGUCAAAAAAAGAAAGACUCAAGUUUGACUUCAGACAAAGAGAGUAAGCAGAGACUAAAGGUACUCUGUUUGGUUUUUUAGUAGCACGUCUUCCAUUCAAAUUAACAGCCGAUUGCAUGUAAAUUGCUUUGAAAUGCAAAACUUCUUUUUAAUAUUUAAAGUUGUCAUCUUUGUAAAGAAAUUUUUUAUCUAUAAUAUAAAAUAUAAAUAUCUAUUUCCUAAUACAAAAUUUGUAUAUAUGAAUGAGUAAUGUAGCAUAGGCGGUAUAUAGCAUCAAAAUCAUAAAAUUAUGUUACCGAAUUGCCUACAAUCUUUGGCAACUCUCUUGAAUUUGAAUUUUAUGGUAUAGAGUUUGGUGGCCAAAGUAAAUACAUAAAACACAAAUAUUUUGUUGAAAUUUUUUCAGGGUAACUAAUUAUUCCACAUCAAUUGAUAGGAAUUUCGUAUUUGGAAUUAAGAUGAUUUGCAACUAAUACAAACUGCAAAUGUUCUCUACAUAUUGUUUAAAACUCUAUUGGUGUUUGUUUUUCGGUCGUUAUUAUUUGACAUACAUUGUAGAAAAUAAUUUAUCAUAUGUAAUUAAUCUACCAUUGUUAUUUUUGCUACUUGUUACAUUUAUUGGAAAUCCAAGUGAUGGAAAAAUUUGUUGCUAAAUUUCACCUGAAAAUAAAUCAGGUGAAAGGUCGGUGCUAAAUUUCAGACAAAGUUUAUGUAGCUUAUCCGUCGUGAAGUAUUAAGCAAUAGAUUUGUCCUUGACUCAUACAUGAUUUUCCAUAAGUGAAGCGUCUAAAAGGAUAGCAAUCUUCACUGUCUUAUUUGUUUAUCUACUACAUAAUAAUUUAAGAAAACAUAUGAGAAGUAUUAUAACAAAAAGGCAUUCAACUAAAUACAUAUUAUGAGGGUGCAUAUAAGGAACAUUAUAAAAGCAAAUAACAUUGAAAGUACACCAAUAUCAAGCCUUCAUCAACAGAUUUGAAACUUGGCGCAUUGUUGGCCUUUCUUGUGGAUUUGAGUUCAAACAUGCUCUCGAGAGAUUCAGUACCAAAUUAACCUGUUUUUCAACUUGUGGUGAAGGAAGUGGAAUCCGACUAUCUCCAACAUUUGCUAACACCAGAUAAUCAACAGACAAUGUUGGUAGUUCACCAGGAUGCUUUCCCAUCAUCACUUCUAGUGCAACAAUCCCAAAGCUAUACACAUCACAUUUCUCAGUUGCCACCAUCGU
rnacentral:lncRNA from 1 species